CAGCAGCCGCGGGAAUACGAAGGGUGCAAGCGUUACUCGGAAUUACUGGGCGUAAAGCGUGCGUAGGCGGCUUUUUAAGUCGGAUGUGAAAUCCCUGAGCUUAACUUAGGAAUUGCAUUCGAUACUGGGAAGCUAGAGUAUGGGAGAGGAUGGUAGAAUUCCAGGUGUAGCGGUGAAAUGCGUAGAGAUCUGGAGGAAUACCGAUGGCGAAGGCAGCCAUCUGGCCUAAUACUGACGCUGAGGUACGAAAGCAUGGGGAGCAAACAGGAUUAGAUACCCGUGUAGUCCCUGUCUCUUAUAA
rnacentral:rRNA from 1 species